CCGACUGAGCUGAUGGAGCUUACGUUACGUACGUGUUUCCACGCUUCCCAGAAUCUUUGAACGCUAUAGUCUAUAGUCAUCGAUCGAUGGCUAGUAAAAAAAUCUCCUACUCCUGUCACCACCGGUACUACUAGCUACUAGCUCACAGCCACAACAGAGAGAGAGAGAGAGAGAGAGAGAGAGAGAGAGAGAGAGAGAGAGAGAGAGAGAGUUCCAGGAAUCCUUCUCGCCAUCUCCAUCUCGUCCAUCGCUGCUGCUGCUAGUUUCCGUGUAGUAGUAAGAACCGGGAGAGGAUACGAUCGGAUAAGCCACAGAAACAACUUGAAGCCCCUGCUGCUUUGGGUAAGAUAAGAGUGAGAUAAGAUUUCCACGUCGACACUAGCUAGCUACUUUUAGUUUUUACUACCACACAAAUAAACACGUUAUUAUUAACUAGCUACUAGGAGGAGUACAUCAUAUACUCCUGUAUGAUAAUUAAUAUAUACUCCCAUCCCAUGCAUGUACUAUGUAUAUAUGUGCAUGCAUGAUACUGGUACGCGCGGUUCAGUAGCCACUGCAUGCAUGUGUGUGUGUGUGUGUGUACUGUGCAGUGCUGGCAGCAUGUACUGCAAGCUAUAUAUAUACGAUGACGAUGAGCAUGCAGGUCGAGGUCGUAUACACAUUGCAUGCAUAUGCAUGCAUUGGUCAUCCGGAUAAAUGCUUCACAUUCCAUCGGGAGUUCACAGUUAAAUCGUUUUUUGGUUAUGUUUAUUGCUUGACGUGGACACACUGUUGACGAUGAGCAGCUGAUGAUCAGCUAUCAUGCAUAUGUGAACACGAGCUCUCGAUCAUCGUCGUCAGACGAGUUGAACACGUACAGCAACGCCAAAUGGAUAAGAUUUCCGUGUCACCUAGAGGUGCUAGCUAGGAGUAUAUACUGUACCCUGAGGUUAACAACGAAUAUAAUUGAAGGGACAGGGACAGGCGGACAGCAAGCAGCAUCCAUUGACCCAUGCGCAUCAAGAUGACGGCCGGCCGUUGCUUCUUGAUUUGGCCUGCCUGCCCGCUGCGGAGGGUCGCGCGGCGACUCACGGCGACGCCCGAUCGACGCUGACGUUGUUUUGUAGGACAGUACCACAAGUAUGUAUGAUGGAAGGACGGACCAAAUG
rnacentral:lncRNA from 1 species